rnacentral:tRNA from 1 species
GGGCCCGUAGCUCAUCUGGUAGAGCGCUGCGUUCGCAUCGCAGAGGUAAGGAGUUCGAGUCUCCUCGGGUCCACCA